AUUGAACGCUGGCGGCAGGCCUAACACAUGCAAGUCGAACGGUAACAGGAAGAAGCUUGCUUCUUUGCUGACGAGUGGCGGACGGGUGAGUAAUGUCUGGGAAACUGCCUGAUGGAGGGGGAUAACUACUGGAAACGGUAGCUAAUACCGCAUAACGUCGCAAGACCAAAGAGGGGGACCUUCGGGCCUCUUGCCAUCGGAUGUGCCCAGAUGGGAGUAGUUAGUAGGUGGGGUAACGGCUCACCUAGGCGACGAUCCCUAGCUGGUCUGAGAGGAUGACCGGCCACACUGGAGCGGAGACACGGUCCAGACUCCGACGGGAGGCAGCAGUGGGGAAUAUUGCACAAUGGGCGCAAGCCUGAUGCAGCCAUGCCGCGUGUAUGAAGAAGGCCUUCGGGUUGUAAAGUACUUUCAGCGGGGAGGAAGGGAGUAAAGUUAAUACCUUUACUCAUUGACGUUACCCGCAGAAGAAGCACCGGCUAACUCCGUG
rnacentral:rRNA from 1 species